CGGAUCCCGGGGCCCUGCCAUCCGCGUUUAUCCGCGUUUAGCCCGACAGGGGCUCCCCCGUGUGGCUCCAGGGGCUAGCAACGUCUGUGACUUGAAUAUUUACCCGGUUCUCUUUUCAGGUUGAAGACGGGAGUCUGGCCAUCGUGAGCUGACCCAGGAGACGCUCUUGUUCUCUUUUUAGCGCGUUUUUGCCUCCUUAGGAUUAGAAAAAGCUUCCAGCUUUUCUCAGGUUGACAUGGACCCUGGCAGAGGAAUUAGAGGCGUCCAAUUUCGAGUAACCAGACGCCUGCCUGGGAAGUAAUUAGGGGUAGAAUGGGCGACUCUUGGAGUGAAAAUGGAGGAAAGGAAAGCAUCAUGCUGUCUUGAUUGCGGUUGGUUUGUAGUAUUUUUUGAAAUUGGUGCGGGAAACUGAAGCUUCAGAGACUAAAUGAUUAACGUGGGCCUCUGCUCAGUAAAUUGCAUAUCUGGGACUAGAACCUGGGUCUUCUGACUCCUACUCCAAAGCCCUUGAAGAAGUGUUGUCCUGAGAAGCUCACCAGCUCAACAGAUGUGCCCUUAUGUGCCUGCUGGGAAGCAAGCACAGAACAGAGACAUUAUCCCAAAUAAUGACAUAGAAAUAGGGCCUCAGAGAAUGGUUCCUGACUGAGUUGAAACUCAAGAGAUGAAAUUCUAUUAUCACCCUAAGUAAAUAUGAUUACUUAUCAACUGCAGAGCCUUUUUUUUAAAAAGUCUUAAUUCUAAAAUGUACAGAAAAUGAAACUUUAACCGCCACCCUAAAGUGUUUCAGAAUAUUUGUGGCAGAUAAUUUACAUUAUCUUAGGAACGCUACAAACUCUUAAAUUGCAGGGCCAAUAGCUAAGGAGGCCAAUCUGGCAUUGUGUUUUUGUAAUAAACAUAAUUAUAAUGAAAGUUGAAAUAAAGGAAAUUCAGAAGAGUUUGUGCUGUACUUGGCAUCUAUCUAAACUUCAGAGUUAAGCCAGGGACGGAG